rnacentral:rRNA from 1 species
AUUGAACGCUGGCGGCAGGCCUAACACAUGCAAGUCGAGCGGUAGAGAGAAGCUUGCUUCUCUUGAGAGCGGCGGACGGGUGAGUAAUGCCUAGGAAUCUGCCUGGUAGUGGGGGAUAACGUUCGGAAACGGACGCUAAUACCGCAUACGUCCUACGGGAGAAAGCAGGGGACCUUCGGGCCUUGCGCUCUCAGAUGAGCCUAGGUCGGAUUAGCUAGUUGGUGGGGUAAUGGCUCACCAAGGCGACGAUUCGUAACUGGUCUGAGAGGAUGAUCAGUCACACUGGAACUGAGACACGGUCCAGACUCCUACGGGAGGCAGCAGUGGGGAAUAUUGGACAAUGGGCGAAAGCCUGAUCCAACCAUGCCGCGUGUGUGAAGAAGGUCUUCGGAUUGUAAAGCACUUUAAGUUGGGAGGAAGGGCAGUAAAUUAAUACUUUGCUGUUUUGACGUUACCGACAGAAUAAGCACCGCCUAACUCUGUG